rnacentral:rRNA from 1 species
AUUGAACGCUGGCGGCAUGCCUUACACAUGCAAGUCGAACGGCAGCACGGGUGCUUGCACCUGGUGGCGAGUGGCGAACGGGUGAGUAAUACAUCGGAACGUACCUUAUCGUGGGGGAUAACGCAGCGAAAGCUGUGCUAAUACCGCAUACGCCCUGAGGGGGAAAGCGGGGGAUCGCAAGACCUCGCGCGAUUAGAGCGGCCGAGGCCUGAUUGGCUAGUUGGUGGGGGAAAAGCCCAACAAGGCGACGAUCAGUAGCUGGUCUGCAAGGGGACGCUCAGCCACACUGGGACUGAGACACGGCCCAGACUCCUACGGCAGGCAGCAGUGGGGAAUUUUGGACAAUGGGGGCAACCCUGAUCCAGCAAUGCCGCGUGAGUGAAGAAGGCCUUCGGGUUGUAAAGCUCUUUUGUCAGGGAAGAAACACCGGCUCUAACACAGUCCGGGAAUGACGGUACCUGAAGAAUAAGCACCGGCUAACUACGUGCCAGCCGCCGCGGUAA